CCUACGGGAGGCAGCAGUGAGGAAUAUUGGUCAAUGGCCGGAAGGCUGAACCAGCCAUGCCGCGUGAAGGUCAGUGCCCUAUGGGCGGUAAACUUCUUUUGUGCGGGAGCAAUAAUAGUCACGUGUGGCCAGACGAGAGUCCCGUACGCAUAAGCCUCGGCUCACUCCGUGCCCGCAGCCGCGGUAAUGCGGGGGAUGCACGCGUUUUCCGGAUUUAGUGGGUUGAAAGGGUGCGUAGGCUGGGAGGUAAGUCAGCGGUGAAAUGCCCCCGCCCAACGGGGUGAAGUGCCAUUGAUACUGCCUAGCUGGAGUGCGGAUGCGGUGGGAGGAAUGUGUGGUGUAGCGGUGAAAUGCAUAGAUAUCA
rnacentral:rRNA from 1 species